rnacentral:rRNA from 1 species
UCCUACGGGGGGCAGCAGUGAGGAAUAUUGCACAAUGGGGGAAACCCUGAUGCAGCGACGCCGCGUGAGCGAUGAAGUAUUUCGGUAUGUAAAGCUCUAUCAGCAGGGAAGAAAAUGACGGUACCUGACUAAGAAGCCCCGGCUAACUACGUGCCAGCAGCCGCGGUAAUACGUAGGGGGCAAGCGUUAUCCGGAAUUACUGGGUGUAAAGGGAGCGUAGACGGCAAUGCAAGUCCGGAGUGGAAUGCGGCAGCUCAACUGCCGAACUGCUCUGGAAACUGUAUGGCUUGAGUGCAGGAGGGGUA